rnacentral:rRNA from 27 species
UUGACCUCAAAUCGGGUGAGACUACCCGCUGAACUUAAGCAUAUC